GAUACGCAGGUCCGGUGGAGGAGUGUGAGCGUAGCAGCACUGUAGAUUAUUUCUGGUACAGAGAGACCCUGAACACGUCCACGUCCAUCGACGAGUCUGGAGGUCUGCAGUGGUGGAUGGUCCUCUCCCUGGUGGCCGCCUGGACCGUGCUUUACGUCUGCUGCAUCCGCGGUAUCGAAACCAGCGGCAAGGCUGUGUACAUCACCUCCACUCUGCCAUACGUGGUUCUGACUAUCUUCCUGAUCAGAGGACUCACUCUGAAGGGUUCCGUGGCAGGAAUAAAGUUCCUUUUCACA